GGAAGGUUGGCAGAGAUGGUCGAUGGCAUCAGUCUUGAAAACUGAAGAAGUGAAAGCUUCCGGGGGUUCGAAUCCCUCACCUUCCGCCA
rnacentral:tRNA from 1 species